AGCAAAAACAGCUGCUGUAUCAUCAGUCCUGCGUCAGUCAAUUGAAGGGCUGUUGGUGGACAGUGGGGAUAAAGAGGAUCUGUAAAAAUUACCUGAAAAAGAUUGGAAAUGAAGAGUACUUCUAAGCAGAUCGGACACAACUGAGUGAUUCUCAAAACAGGCCUUUGGACUCAGACUGGAAAUUUAUACCACCGGCUUUCCUGGGUCUCCAGCUUGCAGAUGGCAUAUUGUGGAACUUCUCUGCCUUCCUAAUCACUAACAGAAACCCCCCUGAGUGACUUAGCAGGUCACGUUCUCUGUGUCCCUAGUAUCAAGGUCAUCUGAAUAAAUUCAGGCUAAUGAUGUGAGCAAAAGUUUUUCGAGUUAUGAAGGCAGGUACCUGGAAUGGACAAGAACUCAACAAUUUUUUGAGCAAAUUAUACUACCAAGGAACUUGCAAGUCUAGUGUGUAAAAGUUUGAUAAGAAACCAUCUCCUGAGAUUCUAACCCUGUAUCUGCAGAGAACUGAGAAACUUGGGCUGCAUUCAAUUUCAACCCUGAAACUCCUUGUCUAUCAUUACAUCUAAAGUGAAAAGAGAAUAUGCUUUCCAGUGUGCACUGUAGAAGUGUCCCAGGGAUGAUGGAUAAAGAAGAAUUUCCUAAAGGACAAAGCCAGUGGACCACAAGGACAGUGGAUUGGGGGUUUCCAAGAGGGCUGAGCCGGGAAUUCAUCAAGGAGCCCACUCCAGUGCCAGCGAGGGGAGUCUGCAAUUGCUGCCCAGCAAGAUUUCCACAUUGCUAGAGACCAGCUUCUCUGUGUCAUUUAUAUCCUUCUCUUUUCCAAGUAGGAAUUUUAUUACACUUGUCCUGGUUCUGUUGCACUACUGUAUCUUGUGUUUUCGUGGGAACGUGGGGGCUGUGGGAAGUGGCAGGGAAAUUAUCUAUAGUUAGUCCAUCAUAGAACCAGAUGACGCUUCCUCAGGACUCAUGGAAAGAAUUUCACAUCACGUAGGAAUUCUAGGUUUUGAGCUGAACUGGGUUGGACUCUACAUUGUUCACCUUUGGAAAAGAGGUGUGUCAACAUGGGGUAAAAGAAGCAAAAAAAAAGUUGAGUUACACCCAAAUGGGUUAUGGCAAAAGCUGCCAAGUGUCCCUAGUAUCACUACCUCUUAAUUCCUUCUAAUCCUAGAAGCCACCAGAAUUUUAGCAAAUAUAUACAUGGUCCAAGUAGAAAUGAAAUUUCUAAAAAAAAAAAAAGAAAUUUCUCAGCCUCACUUGGAGUUGACUGUGGCCAUGUGACUCAAUGCUGACAUUUACCUAAUAAGACGUUUGCCUAAGAAGUCAUCUUAUGGGCUUCCCUGUGGUGUAGUGGUUAAGAAUCUGCCUGCCAAUGCAGGGGACACAGUUUGGAUCCCUGGUCUGGGAGGAGCCACAUGCUACAGAGCAGCUAAACCCACGCACCACAACUACUGAGCCUGUGCUCUGGAGCCCAAGUGCCUAGAGCCUGUGCUCCACGACAAGAGAAGCCACCGCAUUUGCAACAAAGUGUAGCCCCCACUCACUGCAACUAGAGAAAACCUUCACAAAGCUACAAAGAUCCAGUGUAGCCAAAAAGAAAUUAAAAAAAUUUUUUUUUCUUUCUAAAUUAGUCUUGCUACAGCAGCUUGACCCGAACAUUAAUAAUGAUAGCACUUCCCCUGCACUCAACAAGAAUGCUAUAAGAAGCCAUCUAGCUACUUCUAGGAAUAAUAAUGGAAUACAAAAUAAAACCAUAUAUAUUUAUAAGUAUUAAUAUCUUAUGUUGUUCAGUUGCUCAGUCGUGUCCUACUCUUCGUGACCCCAUGGACUGCAGCACGCCAGGCUUCCCUGUCCUUCACCAUCUCCCAGAGCUUGCUCAAACUCAUGUCCAUUGAGUCGGUGAUGCCAUCCAACCAUCUCAUCCUCUAUUGCCCCCUUCUCCUCCUGCAAGCUUAAUUGUAUAUUUCAAGGCUACUGAGAAGAAAAUGUCUAAAGAAAACUUCUUCAUGAAAUUAGUAAGGAACAAGUUUACUGGUUCAAUGUAAGUUGUAUUUAAGUCUCUGUAG
ensembl:lncRNA